ensembl:lncRNA
GAACAAAAGAAAAUGUGGACACUGAGGAAACACAGUUACCAGCCUCAUACAAAUAUAAAGACGUUUGUCGGGGCUGACCUUAAGAUGCCUGUACGUGACUGCAGCCACUCUGGUCUCUGAAACAAUGUCAGGACAGGGUGAGAGAAGAACUGCAUCUGAAAUGAGUCACUCCAAGAAGCAUUCUGACACUGAAAGUGUCACAGAGAAGAGACCAGAGUCACCUACACAGAGCUGUGUGUCCAUGAAGAGUGAUUCAUCAAAGGACUUCAACCCACCCAACUUCAGAGAGGGAGAGCUGCCCUCUGAGCAAAGUGUCACAGAGAAGAGACCAGAGUCACCUACACAGAGCUGUGGGUCCAUGGAGAGUGAUGCGUCAAAGGACUUCAACCCACCCAACUUCAGAGAGGGAGAGCUGCCCCCUGAGCAAAGGUAUUUUGAGCUACUCCUACUAUCUCAUCCCCACAUUAAUGUAUGUUCUUCACAGGGCUGGUCCUAUUCUGACUGCAUGUUCAAAA